UGUAUUGUAUAAUUAUAUGUAUAUUUAUAAGGUAAUAAUAUGACCUAAACUAUGUCCAAUCAAAGAAUGUCAUGUAGUAUCAUGUAUUGUCAAGCAUGGAGGUUGAAACCUCAUUAUAUGAUUCACCACUACACACACCGUCAUGAAGAUGGUGGGAGGGUCAUGAACAACAAGAAAGUAAAUCUAAUCUAAUCAAGUCAUAAAAGUGUUCAAAUGAAGGAGUGGAACUUAGUUUGGAAGGCCAAAGCCUCCAUUUGUUCACACUUCACAAUUCAUCAUAUAGAAGAUGAUGACUUGUGCUUGUUUUCAUCAUUCGAUUAUCAAGUUUAAACAGAAAUUAAAUGGGUGUUUGAACCCAAAACUUUGAUGGAAAUCCCCUAAACACAAACCCACAACCAUGGACUAAGUUGUGAGCUUGGUG
rnacentral:lncRNA from 1 species